rnacentral:rRNA from 1 species
CAGCAGCCGCCACGGGAAUACAGAGGGUGCGAGCGUUAAUCGGAUUUACUGGGCGUAAAGCGUGCGUAGGCGGCUUUUUAAGUCGGAUGUGAAAUCCCUGAGCUUAACUUAGGAAUUGCAUUCGAUACUGGGAAGCUAGAGUAUGGGAGAGGAUGGUAGAAUUCCAGGUGUAGCGGUGAAAUGCGUAGAGAUCUGGAGGAAUACCGAUGGCGAAGGCAGCCAUCUGGCCUAAUACUGACGCUGAGGUACGAAAGCAUGGGGAGCAAACAGGAUUAGAUACCCCUGUAGUCCCUGUCUCUUAUAC